UUGUGAUAAGUUAAGGACUUUUCACAGUUCAAGAACAUGGAAAUGGAAGAUGUAAGGUUGAUGGCAAGAUCAAGAGUGUGACCAUCUCUAUGUAUAGCUGCAGUAGGUUAGAGGAAGAGUUUAUAGGAAAUAAGAAGAAGAGGAGGGAAAAUGAUGCACUGAGAUUAAAGUUCCUAGACAGACAUUUACAGAGGUCCUAUCAGUAAAGUUUCUAAAAAUAAUGGAGGAGGGGCACAACUGCCUUCUCCCUACCCAGAAAAUUCAACAAGUUAUAGAAGGAGGUUGGGGCAGAGGGCACUGUAUUGUAACAGCAACAGACUUCAAAAUUUGCCAAGUGAUGCUUCAAUAUUUGCCAGUAAAUCCCCACCUACUAACUGGGGACCUCUAACCCAAGAAAAUGAGCACUAGUCCAUUUCUUGAAAGGCCCUAAAAGAAAUAAAGUGAAAUUUAUGUUUCCAUUCUGGUCAAAGUAUUGGAGAUUUCUGCAGGAAGAUUAUAUCCUGGGAAAGUAUGGAUUCUGAGAAGAUGGGAUCUCCAAAUCAUAUAUGAAGGAAAUUGAGUAUUAUACAAAAUAUGUUUACUACUCCUAGAUAUGAGGUGUGUCUCAACCCCAUGAGCUACAGUUACAGGAGGCAAUGAUUUCAUAUCUAUGUUACAUUGAGAGCAACAAAUAGAAAGAAAUUAACGGGACUCUGAGCUUCUAAUUAUAAUGAUGUUCAA